UGGAAACGGUAGCUAAUACCGCAUAACGUCGCAAGACCAAAGUGGGGGACCUUCGGGCCUCAUGCCAUCAGAUGUGCCCAGAUGGGAUUAGCUAGUAGGUGGGGUAACGGCUCACCUAGGCGACGAUCCCUAGCUGGUCUGAGAGGAUGACCAGCCACACUGGAACUGAGACACGGUCCAGACUCCUACGGGAGGCAGCAGUGGGGAAUAUUGCACAAUGGGCGCAAGCCUGAUGCAGCCAUGCCGCGUGUGUGAAGAAGGCCUUCGGGUUGUAAAGCACUUUCAGCGGGGAGGAAGGCGAUGAGGUUAAUAACCUUGUCGAUUGACGUUACCCGCAGAAGAAGCACCGGCUAACUCCGUGCCAGCAGCCGCGGUAAUACGGAGGGUGCAAGCGUUAAUCGGAAUUACUGGGCGUAAAGCGCACGCAGGCGGUCUGUCAAGUCGGAUGUGAAAUCCCCGGGCUCAACCUGGGAACUGCAUUCGAAACUGGCAGGCUAGAGUCUUGUAGAGGGGGGUAGAAUUCCAGGUGUAGCGGUGAAAUGCGUAGAGAUCUGGAGGAAUACCGGUGGCGAAGGCGGCCCCCUGGACAAAGACUGACGCUCAGGUGCGAAAGCGUGGGGAGCAAACAGGAUUAGAUACCCUGGUAGUCCACGCCGUAAACGAUGUCGAUUUGGAGGUUGUGCCCUUGAGGCGUGGCUUCCGGAGCUAACGCGUUAAAUCGACCGCCUGGGGAGUACGGCCGCAAGGUUAAAACUCAAAUGAAUUGACGGGGGCCCGCACAAGCGGUGGAGCAUGUGGUUUAAUUCGAUGCAACGCGAAGAACCUUACCUGGUCUUGACAUCCACAGAACUUACCAGAGAUGCUUUGGUGCCUUCGGGAACUGUGAGACAGGUGCUGCAUGGCUGUCGUCAGCUCGUGUUGUGAAAUGUUGGGUUAAGUCCCGCAACGAGCGCAACCCUUAUCCUUUGUUGCCAGCGGUCAGGCCGGGAACUCAAAGGAGACUGCCAGUGUAAACUGGAGGAAGGUGGGGAUGACGUCAAGUCAUCAUCCCCCGCGAGAGCAAGCGGACCUCAUAAAGUAUGUCGUAGUCCGGAUUGGAGUCUGCAACUCGACUCCAUGAAGUCGGAAUCGCUAGUAAUCGUAGAUCAGAAUGCUACGGUGAAUACGUUCCCGGGCCUUGUACACACCGCCCGUCACACCAUGG
rnacentral:rRNA from 1 species